GACGAACGCUGGCGGCGUGCUUAACACAUGCAAGUCGAACGGAAAGGCCCUGCUUUUGUGGGGUUCUCGAGUGGCGAACGGGUGAGUAACACGUGAGUAACCUGCCCUUGACUUUGUGAUAACUUCAGGAAACUGGGGCUAAUACCGGAUAGGAUCUCCUGCUGCAUGGUGGGGGUUGGAAAGUGUCGGCGGUUGGGGAUGGACUCGCGGCUUAUCAGCUUGUUGGUGGGGUAGUGGCUUACCAAGGCUUUGACGGGUAGCCGGCCUGAGAGGGUGACCGGCCACAUGGGGACUACGAUACGCAGCAGAAGCGUAUGGGAGGCAGUAGGGGGGAGUAUUACACAAUGGGCCGAAGCCUGAUGCAGAAACGCCGCGUGCGGGAUGACGGCCUUCGGGUUGUGAACAGCUUUCGCCUGUGACGAAGCGUGAGUGACGGUAAUGGGUAAAGAAGCACCGGCUAACUACGUG
rnacentral:rRNA from 1 species